rnacentral:tRNA from 1 species
UCCUGUGUGGUGCAAAGGUUUAAUGCACUUGGCUGCUAACCAAAAGAAUAGAGGUUCGAGUCCACUCACAGAUG